CCUUGUGACCAAAAGCAUUCGUGGGCUUUGAUACGCCCGCCCAGGUAAUUGAUAGUGCAAGAACAGGAUGCAGAAAGCCAUUCCCUGGGUUAGGAUGGUUCACUUAAGUCCUUGACAAAUGCUGGUACUUUCGGACA